rnacentral:misc_RNA from 1 species
UUUGUGCGGCCAACUGACAUGGGGCUGUCUCAUCACUCUCCCUCCCGUCAUUAAAUUUGUCGGGGUUGGGAUGCUUGUGAUCGGUUGCCUGUGUAGUUCUACCUUGUUGUGGGUAGCGAAGUUGUCCCUCGAUUGAUUUUUGCUUGCCUUUUUGACUUUUUUUGUCGUUUGGGCAGCCGAAAUGAUGGCAAAAUCCUUGUGUAGGUGCGUGGUCGAAUGGCUUUGUUGCUAUCACUUGGAUUUUUGUCAGCUCUCACAGAUGCAGUGCUUAGUGCUAGCGCUGUGUGACUUUGCCUCACAGACUUUGGGAGGUCCCUUGUACGAAUCAUAGCUUUCGGAUGCCGUUUGUCGUGUUGCUUGUUUGGCACGCAAAUCGUAUUGUUCUGCCUGGAGUCGGGAUGAUGAAAGUCAGAAUGAAGUGUCUGGGGCGUGUUUGCGUACAUGGGGAAUGCCUCUCUGAUAGUAUGAGUAACGAUUUUCGGCAUGUGUCCUGCGAAGGCCCUCCCGUUUGGGUUGUUGCUGGAGCUG